UCUGAUGCAGGGAGACAUGAACGAUGAAGUGUUGCGGAGCUAAUGUCAUGCUUGGGUGUUGCUAAAAACAAGAGUUCGUGAAUUGCAGAAAUCGAAUCCAUGGUUGAAGAUGAUGUGAAUCAGCGUACGCUUUGGUGCCAAGAUUCAAAUGUCAGUCAAUCAUAUUGCGCCAACACAUAUUUUUGAAUUCCCUAGUGGUUGGCGCCUUAUUUAAUUUUAA
rnacentral:lncRNA from 1 species